UUGAAUAAGCAUAACCUAACCAUUUUCUAAAGAGCUUUAGUGAAACUGUAACUCUUUUUUGUUUUCAGAAAAAUGUGAUGAGCCUCUCGUCUCUGGUCUUCCCCAUGUGUCCUUCAGCAGCUCUUCCUCCCUGUCCAGCAGCUAUGCACCUGGCUAUGCCAAGAUCAAUAAGCGAGGAGGUGCUGGUGGAUGGUCUCCAUCAGACAGUGACCACUAUCAAUGGCUUCAGGUUGACUUUGGCAAUCGGAAGCAGAUUAGUGCCAUUGCAACCCAAGGAAGGUACAGCAGUUCUGACUGGGUGACGCAAUAUCGAAUGCUCUACAGUGAUACAGGGAGAAACUGGAAACCCUAUCAUCAAGAUGGCAAUAUCUGGGUGAGUCAAUAUUGGAAAUGCAAACAUGCAUGACUGAAUGGAAAAUAUGUGAAACUGGAGGUGAACUCACAUGGCCUAUUCACAGCUGCAAAUAUGUAAUUAUGAAAACUCUUUGAAGGCUACUAAUUAACCAAGUCAUUAAUUAAUUCACUUUUGCAUAUUGAGGUACAUUUUCUUAGACUGAAAUAUACAUCUAGGGCUAGCCCAGUGGGUCUCUGCCUUAAGAAACAAUUGAAAUCACUCGAAGAAGUAUUACUAAACAAAAAUGCCAUUCACACCUAGAACAACAAAACCAAGAUCAUGUUCAUAGAAAAUCCAAAUGUAUUUUAACCAUCAUUAGAGUGCAUCUACAUGCACUUUUUAUUAUCCUAUGGUGAAAUACUGGAGGAAAAAUAUCUCUUCAGUGGGUAGCAGGUAAGAACAUGAUUGAGUCAAGAUAUGUUUAAACAGUAACAUUGUUCAAGAUAAUUAGACUCAUCUGGUGAUAAAUAUGAAUAACAAGAAUGAUUACUUGUGAAAGAACCCUGUGAAAACAACCCAUGUGGAGAAGGAAGUCUGGAUGUGCACUGAGUUCUCUGCCUUCACUGAUGGUGUUGAGGCACAUGCUUCUGUGAUCUUCUACCCUUCUUUUAUUGAUUUAUCUCCUUCCUUUCAUGUUUCUCAUUAAAAUUAGCAUAGCGAUGAAUGAUGAGUAAUGAGUGAUGAUUUCCAGAAGAUUCUGUAUUAGCUAAUCAUGAAACUGUAAAAUUACCAACAAGUGUAAGGUGUAAUGUAAAUAUUGUGAGAUACAUUUAAGUGUUAUAGUUAGCAUUCCACAUAAUGAGUCUAAUAACCCAUGACAGAAAUACCAAGAGUGGUGACAAAUGAAAAUUCAUUCACUUCCAACAGUCCUUGAGGAUUUUACAGCUAUAAAUUAAACAUUAAGCAAUGAAAUUUUAACUUUUAUAAUAUCAACAAAACAUAUGUAGGCUUAACCUUAGCAGUGAUGAUAACU
rnacentral:lncRNA from 14 species